UGGGGAAUCUUGCACAAUGGGGGAAACCCUGAUCCAGCCAUGCCGCGUAAGUGAUGAAGGCCCUAGGGUUGUAAAGCUCUUUUGUGCGGGAAGAUAAUGACGGUACCGCAAGAAUAAGCCCCGGCUAACUUCGUGCCAGCAGCCGCGGUAAUACGAAGGGGGCUAGCGUUGCUCGGAAUCACUGGGCGUAAAGGGUGCGUAGGCGGGUUUCUAAGUCAGAGGUGAAAGCCUGGAGCUCAACUCCAGAACUGCCUUUGAUACUGGAAGUCUUGAGUUCGGGAGAGGUGAGUGGAACUGCGAGUGUAGAGGUGAAAUUCGUAGAUAUUCGCAAGAACACCAGUGGCGAAGGCGGCUCACUGGCCCGAUACUGACGCUGAGGCACGAAAGCGUGGGGAGCAAACA
rnacentral:rRNA from 1 species